ACCUCUUUCGAUGGACUCCAAGCAUCUCUCCUUGAAAAAUAUGAACUGAUCAAGCUGCACAUCAAGCGAAAAUGUGGUUUCUCCCGGUGUUGCCGUCGAGCCGGCGAUGGCGAAAUUCACACCGUUGUUGUAAUCCGCUCCCAGUGGCCUCAUGAACGGGCUGAGGUGGUGAGUGUUCAAGCUCUCACCUG
rnacentral:sRNA from 1 species